CUGCCCUUAUGGGAGUGUUUGGAGGCUCAGCACCAGAAGCCGAAGGGACAUAAGACUCUAUAAAGCAAAUGUUUGUGGAUAUUUCUGUAUAUACUGAAUGCUCAUGGGACUGUUACAGUCAUCUGGCCUCAUCGUGUGGCAAAUCCAGAUGAGGAUAAUAUUGCUCCUUUCUGCUGUCAAGAAAAUUUUGUGUUAACUGGAAAGUGAAGCCCACCAAUCCAGUAAAGCAUACCUAGUAGAAAAGGCAGAACC
rnacentral:lncRNA from 1 species